GUAGGUGGCAAGCGUUGUCCGGAAUUAUUGGGCGUAAAGCGCGCGCAGGCGGUUCUUUAAGUCUGAUGUGAAAGCCCACGGCUCAACCGUGGAGGGUCAUUGGAAACUGGAGAACUUGAGUACAGAAGAGGAAAGCGGAAUUCCACGUGUAGCGGUGAAAUGCGUAGAGAUGUGGAGGAACACCAGUGGCGAAGGCGGCUUUCUGGUCUGUAACUGACGCUGAGGCGCGAAAGCGUGGGGGAGCAAACAGGAUUAGAUACCCUGGUAGUCCACGCCGUAAACGAUGAGUGCUAAGUGUUAGGGGGUUUCCGCCCCUUAGUGCUGCAGCUAACGCAUUAAGCACUCCGCCUGGGAGUACGGCCGCAAGGCUG
rnacentral:rRNA from 1 species